rnacentral:lncRNA from 1 species
CCACAAAAUCACCCGUUAAAUCUGCGGCACCAUCGCACAGCAUUGUCACAGGAUAACGAUCAAUGCUGAAGGCUUUGACCAGCUCUUCGAUGGAAGGGCUAUUAGCAUCUGCAUCAUCUCUUUUGAAAUAUUCCUCCUCCGUGGUCAUCAUAUUCUGCGUCCGAUUGAGAUAACAUUUGUAAAGCAAGCUCAUAGAGUGGUGGAUGUAGCCUAGCUGCUUCACUUUUUUCUUUACUUGGACUUGAUUCGGUUUCUGUUCUUUUGGAAACCAUAUUAUCUAAAAUUAACAGGAACAUAAAAUAAUAUAUUAUUAUUGAUUAAUGCAUCGUUAAAAAAGGAUAACAAUAAAUCAAAUAAGCAAAACAGUAAAAUUAUAGUUACAACAGAUCACUGAUCUGUUGCACCAGGUAGUAUAUCUGUUGCAGCAUAUAACCAAACUGUUGCAGCAAAUAAGUAAUCUGUUGCAAUAAUACAAAACAUAUCACUCAUCUUUUAAGAUAGAUGAAUGGUCUGUUCAACAUAUCACACAACUGUUGUGACAUCAUCUAUUACAACAUAUAAGUGAUCUAUUGGAACAGUUAAAUAAUCCGUAGCAACGGCUGAGUAAUCUGUUGCGACAAUACAAAAUAUAUCACUCAUCUGUUAAGAAAGAUGAAUGGUCUGUGCAACAGGUACACAUCUGUUGCAACACGUGAGUGAUCUGUUGAAACAGUUAUCAAUGGUCAAUAUUGUUUAGAUUUCUUCCAACAUAGGGUCGUCUAUCAAGGCAGAUGAAUGAUCAGUUAGAAAAAUCAAGUCUUGGACUUUUCUUGUAGGAAAAGUUAGUAGGAUUUUAUCCAAUAGGAGGUUCAUCUGUUGCAUCAGAUCAUUAAUCUGAUGGUUCUUCCAUUGCACCAGAUGGUUAAUUAGUUGCAUCAGAUUUUUUAUCCGAUGCUUAAUCUGUUGCAAUAUAUGGUAAAGUUGUUAGAUCAGAUAUUUAAUCUGUUGCAUCAGAAUUAUAAUCUGAUGGUUCCUCUGGUGCAUCAGAUGGUUGAUCUGUUGCAUUAUAUGAUAAAUCUGUUGUAUCAGAUGGUUAAUAUGUUGCACCAGAUAGGUAAUCAGUCGAAGAAAGCAGUAGCACGAUUUUGUUAAACAAAAAACAGCAAUUUCACCAUUUUUACCAAGAACAAGAACAGAACAAAUCAAACCAAAUUGUCCUUUUAUUUUUAUAAACACAAACAAUAAAAAUCAAACUUCAAAAAAAUAUAAUAAACAACAAAAUAUCAUAAUUCACUUCGUAAAGAGAAGAGAAGAAAUAUCACAAAUUAGAGUUACAUUUCAAAUUUGUGCAACAAAUAUUGAAAUUAUUAACCAAUACUAUAAGAGAAGUUGGCUCAAGUUCCUCGUUUUCUUCAAAACUAAAUAGGCCAUAAAUUUUUACCUGUGAAAGAAGAAAAGGACCGAUGAAGAAUUCAAAGCUGUUGUGGCUGGGGGGCAAGGGUGUCNNNNNNNNNNNNNNNNNNNNNNNNNGGAGAGCAAGGUUGUCACGUCGAUUGAAGUCGAAAAGAAACUCGAAGCCCAACUAUUUGUAGUCGAAUGUUGAAGUAGGCGAAGAUUGAAAUGAGAAAUUUGCAGAACAGUUGGUUGGGAGAGAGUUAAGAGAAGCUGUCGAGAGAGGGAUGAGAGACAAGUUGAUUGAAUUGAAGAGGGGAACUCGAACCCCAACUAUUUGUCAUCGGAGGUAGAAGUCGUCGGGGGUUGAAGGGAGAAAUUUUGCAGAACUGUUAGUUGGGAGAGAGUUAAGAGAAGCUGUCGAGAGAAAGGAGAGAGUGGUUGACUUGGAUUGAAGAGGGUGUGGGUUGGGUUGAUUUGUAUUUUCGAAAAGAUUAGAAAGUUUUGAAAAUAUUAAUCAAGUCCACAAUUAACUUGAUCUAGUUUCCUAAUAAUGUUUGACCCUAUCUGUUGGUCAAUGUCACCAAUCCUUCAUUUAAGACUUAAAAGACACAUUUCCUUCAAUUUUCUCAAGAUAGUGGGCAUUAACUAAUGAACAUUAACUAGUGAUCACAGUGGGCAUUAAUUAAUAAAUUAUUCAGAUAGUUGUCAAAAGUAAAAUUGACAGAUUGUCUUUCAAUUUCAACAUCCGAAAUUUUAAAACAGUAAUAAAUUUAAAUUCCUAAAUUUCAUAAUUAGGGUUCAUAAAAUUAAUAGAAAACUUUAAUUGUAAUGGAAAAUUAUUAGUUCCUAAACCGCGCUCGGAUACCACAUUAAGCAUAUAACGGAUUGUAUAACUUAAACAAUUUAAUAUAAAUAAUCUUAUCAAUUAUUUAGGAACGUAGAACUUAAUGAUUUUCACAUACCAUUCUUUACCUUACUUUAAAAGUCAGUCAAGAAACAUAUCAGAAUUCUCCAUAGCUUUCUUGACCGAGAUUAGCGGAAGCACAGAAUAAAAUAUUUAUUUCUCUCUCUUUACCUUACGUUUCAGAAUAAUAUUUGAUGGAGCUUAUUCUUCUUUUGGCAAAGAGAGGACCCCUUUUAUAAUAUGAAGUUCAGAUAGUUAUGUUUUCACGUUUUAUCAACAUGAUUUGUGGAUACAAUAAUUAUCCCACUAAUAGCAGUUAUCCCACUAACAGAUAAUAAUUAUCCUACUAUGAGUCAGUAAUUAUCAGUAGUUUAAUUCUACUAGGUAACUUCCCCAUAUAGAUUUAGGAUUUAACUUAUUCGAUUAUUAUUAGACCAGCAAAUAAAUUAAUUAUGAGGCAUACAACUUUACAAUAAGCUGAAACCUCUUUUACUGUAACAAAAAAAGAUGGGUGCAUAAUAUUUUCAAACCUGUUUAAUAUUCAAAUAGGAAGAUGACUUGAAUAUAAUCAUGGGAUCUAAUAUGGGGACAUAAUACAUAUUCAGUGAGAACAAACAGAUCACCCAUUAUCACAUAAUUGCCUUUAGCAAGAAAUCAUGGCAAUAGACAAAUACUCAAAGACGUUGUACGGAAUAAGAGCUCUAUACUUUGUUUUGUAUCACAUUGUCAACAAACCGACCUCAAUCCUGAGAAUUUCUAAACUUACAUGGAAAACAGAAUUCCAGUACAUUCACGCAUACGUAAAUCAAUUCCAAGUAUUAACAUAAAAUAAAGAGGAAAAGUGCAAAUGCCGACCUUUUGCGGGGCAGUGACUAGGGUGCUUUGGUCGCCGAUCUAGGCUCGAACUCAAGGGGCAAACUCAGAACGCGCUUGAUGGUGAGAAGCUUCGUCGAGGCCGAAAUUCAAAAGGCCGAGACAUAGAGAUACAAGCAGAUGCAACGAGCUUCAAAAGGGAAUAUCUGGCCGAAAAAAAAACUUUAUGCAAGGGGUGUGAGGC